UGGCUCCAUGCAAUGCAAUUUUUGUAAAAAAUUAAUAUCUAAUUAAUUAUUUAAAUUAACAUCCAAUUAUGAGAUAUCGUAGAAUAUGCACUCUGCCCUAGUGCGAGGACUUGCUGCCCUAGACAUCGGCCAGGACUCGAGGCCCAAGCACGUAGGGCACGCCUCGAUCCUGUGUUUGUAAUGUUACCAGGUACCUUCCAUCGGUUUGAGCACGCAGGGCACACGAGGGCUGGAUGCCUUAGACGCCAGUUGGGACCUGAGGCCCAAGCAUGCAGGGCAUGCCCUGGUUCUGUGUUCACAAUGCUGACCAGCACACC
rnacentral:lncRNA from 1 species